CUGCUCACCAGGGCUCGGUCCUCUCCACGUGGGACAGACCCACCCUCCAUGAGCGAGAGAAACGGGACUGGUUUGGGGGUCUCCUGUCUGAGUGGACACGGGAGACCACGGUUUUCAGUGCGACA
ensembl:scaRNA